rnacentral:rRNA from 1 species
UACGAAGGGGGCUAGCGUUGUUCGGAAUUACUGGGCGUAAAGCGCACGUAGGCGGAUAUUUAAGUCUGGGGUGAAAUCCCGGGGCUCAACCCCGGAACUGCCUUUGAUACUGGGUAUCUCGAGUCCGAGAGAGGUGAGUGGAAUUCCGAGUGUAGAGGUGAAAUUCGUAGAUAUUCGGAGGAACACCAGUGGCGAAGGCGGCUCACUGGCUCGGUACUGACGCUGAGGUGCGAAAGCGUGGGGAGCAAACAGG